CGCCUGUUUUAUCAAAAACAUGUCUUUUUGUUUAUGAUUUAAAGUCUGGCCUGCCCAAUGAUGAUUUUUGAAUGGCUGCAGUAUUUUGACUGUACAAAGGUAGCAUAAUCAUUAGUUUCUUAAUUAGGAGCUGGAAUGAAUGGUUUGAUGAAAAAUUAACUGUCUCAAUUUAAUUGUUAUAGAAUUUUAUUUUUGAGUGAAAAAGCUUAAAUUUUUUAGGAAGACGAGAAGACCCUAUAGAGUUUAAUUUACUGGGGAUUGUUGAUUUAAUGGUUUUAGUAUUUUCAAUUUUUAAGUGAAUUUUGUUGGGGUGAUGGGAAAAUUUUUUUAACUUUUUCUAAUUUUUACACUGAUUAGUGAAUUUAUGAUCCUUUUUUAGAUUAUAAGAUUAAAUUACCUUAGGGAUAACAGCGUUAUUUUUUUUGAAAGUUCUUAUUGAUAAAAAAGUUUGCGACCUCGAUGUUGGAUUAAAGUUUAUUUUCGGUGUAGAAGCUGAGAGGAUUAGGUCUGUUCGACCUUUAAAACUUUACAUGAUCUGAGUUCAGACCGG
rnacentral:rRNA from 1 species